rnacentral:rRNA from 1 species
CGCUGGCGGCGUGCCUAACACAUGCAAGUCGAACGGGGCAGAGAGCUUCGGCUUUCUGCUUAGUGGCGAACGGGUGAGUAACGCGUGAGGAACCUGCCUCUCAGUGGGGGACAACAGUUGGAAACGACUGCUAAUACCGCAUAACACAGCGAAACCGCAUGGUUUUGCUGUCAAAGCUUUAUGUGCUGAGAGAUGGCCUCGCGUCUGAUUAGCUAGUUGGUGAGGUAACGGCUCACCAAGGCGACGAUCAGUAGCCGGUCUGAGAGGAUGAACGGCCACAUUGGGACUGAGAUACGGCCCAGACUCCUACGGGAGGCAGCAGUGGGGAAUAUUGCACAAUGGGGGAAACCCUGAUGCAGCGACGCCGCGUGAAGGACGAAGGUCUUCGGAUCGUAAACUUUUGUCUUCAGGGACGAUAAUGACGGUACCUGAGGAGGAAGCCACGGCUAACUACGUG